GACGAACGCUGGCGGCGUGCUUAACACAUGCAAGUCGAACGGAAAGGCCCUGCUUGCAGGGUACUCGAGUGGCGAACGGGUGAGUAACACGUGGGUGAUCUGCCCUGCACUUCGGGAUAAGCCUGGGAAACUGGGUCUAAUACCGGAUAGGAGCCAUUUUUAGUGUGAUGGUUGGAAAGUUUUUUCGGUGUAGGAUGAGCUCGCGGCCUAUCAGCUUGUUGGUGGGGUAAUGGCCUACCAAGGCGGCGACGGGUAGCCGGCCUGAGAGGGUGGACGGCCACAUUGGGACUGAGAUACGUCCCAGACUCCUACGGGAGGCAGCAGUGGGGAAUAUUGCACAAUGGGCGCAAGCCUGAUGCAGCGACGCCGCGUGGGGGAUGACGGCCUUCGGGUUGUAAACUCCUUUCGCUAGGGACGAAGCUUUUUGUGACGGUACCUAGAUAAGAAGCACCGGCUAACUACGUG
rnacentral:rRNA from 1 species